rnacentral:lncRNA from 1 species
AUUAAAUUGGCAGAAGGCCAAAUUGGCUAGGAAAAAGUGGACUUAACCACAAAUCAGGCCCAACCUUUCCCUUAGAGGCCCAAUCAGGCCUGGUAGACUCAAAUUUACUUAAAUUGAGCUAAAAUUUAGGAUAAAUAGAGGAUAAUGCAAGUCUUAUAUGGUUCUAGGAAUUAAAGACCCGCCGUCUGGACUCAAGAAUUGACAACAACUUAUUGUAAGUAAUCUGUCUUAAUCCUAUCGUAGAUCUUGUAUUACGUUUUAUAAGAUAAACCAGUGUUUUUUUUAUACAAUUUGAAUUGUAUGCAUGAUUAGUUAAGAAUGUAAGUAACCUGUUCUAAUCCUGUUUUGGAUCAUGUCAUGUUAUUAAUGUUUCCUCAGCAUUUCUUUUAAGUAUAUAUGUUUCAUGCUUGAUAUGUUACAAUGCAUAAGUAACUUGCAUGAACCCAGAAGCUAUGGCUAUGUAUGCAACAUGAUGAUACUGAUAUUUUAAUCAUGCA